GAAAUGCGAUAAGUAAUGUGAAUUGCAGAAUUCAGUGAAUCAUCGAAUCUUUGAACGCAUAUUGCGCCCCCUGGUAUUCCGGGGGGCAUGCCUGUUCGAGCGUCAUUUCACCACUCAAGCCUCGCUUGGUAUUGGGCGACGCGGUCCGCCGCGCGCCUCAAAUCGACCGGCUGGGUCUUUCGUCCCCUCAGCGUUGUGGAAACUAUUCGCUAAAGGGUGCCGCGGGAGGCCACCCCGUAAAACAACCCCAUUUCUAAGGUUGACCUCGGAUCAGGUAGGGAUACCCGCUGAACUUAAGC
rnacentral:misc_RNA from 1 species